CAAACGUCCUCACUCAAGAAUGACAGACAUCGAACUGGGGGGAGAGCAGGGCCAGUCAUCUCCUGUCAUCAGGAUGAAUGGUCAACCCCGCAGGAAAGACAACUCACCUGAUGAGACCAUAUUGAUCGCAGAGAGCUGGAGGAUAUAAAAGAGAACUGCCUCACGCUCCCUCACUCACAGGCUCUUAGGAAAUCGGCCAAGGCUUGGAGAAGGAGAGAAAAUGCCUUCCCAGAGGGUGGUCAUUACCCUGGCGCUGCUGUUGGGGUCUUGCUGCAUCAGCGCUUAUCCUGUCCACCUGGAAAGCGACAGUGCCCAUGGAAAUAAAAGCACCCUCCAGGAGGAUGGCCCAGACCGCUCGGUGAGUGGAGGUGCCUCUCUGGCCUCGGGGAGGGUGUCCCAGGGAGACACCACCGGGCAGGGGCUCCCCAUGGCCAGCUCCCCACGAGGUCCCAGUAAACCCCAUCCCUGCCGGCCAGUUAACAGGGACUGAGGCAGUCCCACUCGGGUGCCACACUGCUCCCCUCCCUGGUCCAGCAGUGAGGGGAAGGGGC
rnacentral:lncRNA from 1 species